rnacentral:rRNA from 1 species
UUUAUGGAGAGUUUGAUCCUGGCUCAGGAUGAAUGCUGGCGGCGUGCCUAACACAUGCAAGUCGAGCGGCAGCGAGUUCUGCACUGGCUUUUUCUCUCCUUUUGAGGUAAGAAUGAAAAAAAUUAUUUUUAGUCAAGAGGGUAAAAUGUGCGAAUAUGUAAAAUUAUCGUAGCGCGAAAGAGGAAAAGGUUGUGCAGAAUGUCGGCGAGCGGCGGACGGCUGAGUAACGCGUGGGAAUCUGCCCCAAAGUGAGGGAUAACUGCCCGAAAGGGUAGCUAAUACCGCAUAUGGUCUUCGGAUUAAAGUAUUUAUACGCUUUGGGAGGAGCCCGCGUUGGAUUAGGUUGUUGGUGAGGUAAUGGCUCACCAAGCCGACGAUCCAUAGCUGGUCUGAGAGGAUGAUCAGCCAGACUGGGACUGAGACACGGCCCAGACUCCUACGGGAGGCAGCAGUGAGGAAUCUUCCACAAUGGGGGCAACCCUGAUGGAGCAACGCCGCGUGCAGGAUGAAGGCCUUCGGGUUGUAAACUGCUUUUAUGAGUGAAGAAUAUGACGGUAACUCAUGAAUAAGCACCGGCUAACUACGUGCCAGCAGCCGCGGUCAUACGUAGGGUGCAAGCAUUAUCCGGAGUGACUGGGCGUAAAGAGUUGCGUAGGCGGUUAGUAAAGUGAAUAGUGAAACCUGGUGGCUCAACCAUACAGACUAUUAUUCAAACUCACUAACUCGAGAAUGGUAGAGGUAACUGGAAUUUCUUGUGUAGGAGUGAAAUCCGUAGAUAUAAGAAGGAACACCAAUGGCGUAGGCAGGUUACUGGACCAUUUCUGACGCUAAGGCACGAAAGCGUGGGGAGCGAACCGGAUUAGAUACCCGGGUAGUCCACGCCGUAAACGAUGGAUACUAGCUGUUUGGGGUAUCGACCCCCCAAGUAGCGAAGCUAACGCGUUAAGUAUCCCGCCUGUGGAGUACGGCCGCAAGGCUAAAACAUAAAGGAAUUGACGGGGACCCGCACAAGCGGUGGAUCAUGUUCUUUAAUUCGAUGAUAAACGAAGAACCUUACCAGGGUUUGACAUCCCGAGAAGGCCUCCGAAAGGAGACUGUGCUUUAUUGAACUCGGUGACAGAUGAUGCAUGGCCGUCGUCAGCUCGUGUCGUGAGAUGUUUGGUUAAGUCCAUCAACGAGCGCAACCCUUGUGAAUAGUUGUAUUUUUCUAUUCAGACUGCCCCGGUAACGGGGAGGAAGGAGGGGAUGAUGUCAGGUCAGUAUUUCUCUUACAUCCUGGGCUAGAAACGUGAUACAAUGGCAAGUACAAUGCGCAGCGAAGCCGCGAGGUGAAGCAAAUCGCACCAAAGCUUGUCCCAGUUCGGAUUGGAGGCUGAAACUCGCCUCCAUGAAGUCGGAAUCGCUAGUAAUCGUAGGUCAGCAAACUACGGUGAAUACGUUCCCGGGUCUUGUACACACCGCCCGUCAAACCAUGAAAGUGACCAACACCCGAAGUCCGAUUCGUCGGCCUAAGGUGGGGGGCAUGAUUGGGGUUAAGUCGUAACAAGGUAUCCGUACCGGAAGGUGCGGAUGGAUUACCUCCUUUCUAGGGA